rnacentral:rRNA from 1 species
UACGUAGGGUGCAAGCGUUAAUCGGAAUUACUGGGCGUAAAGCGUGCGCAGGCGGUUCGCUAAGACCGAUGUGAAAUCCCCGGGCUUAACCUGGGAACUGCAUUGGUGACUGGCGGGCUAGAGUAUGGCAGAGGGGGGUAGAAUUCCACGUGUAGCAGUGAAAUGCGUAGAGAUGUGGAGGAAUACCGAUGGCGAAGGCAGCCCCCUGGGCCAAUACUGACGCUCGUGCACGAAAGCGUGGGGAGCAAACAGG